UCGGGAAUUUUGGGCAAUGGGCGAAAGCCUGACCCAGCGACGCCGCGUGCAGGAUGAAGGCCCUCGGGUUGUAAACUGCGGUAGUAGGGGAGGAACGCAAGUGACUGUACCCUACGGAAAGUGGUUGGUAACUACGUGCCAGCAGCCGCGGUAAUACGUAGGUGGCAAGCGUUGUCCGGAUUUAUUGGGUUUAAAGGGUGCGUAGGUGGCCCUGUAAGUCAGUGGUGAAAUAUCUCAGCUUAACUGAGAGGGUGCCAUUGAUACUGCAGGGCUUGAGUACAGAUGAGGUAGGCGGAAUUGACGGUGUAGCGGUGAAAUGCAUAGAUAUCGUCAAGAACACCGAUAGCGAAGGCAGCUUACCAAGCUGUAACUGACACUGAGGCACGAAAGUGUGGGGAUCAAACAGGAUUAGAUACCCCAGUAGUCCCUGAGCGGGCUGGCAAGGCGCAU
rnacentral:rRNA from 1 species